rnacentral:rRNA from 1 species
AGUGAACGCUGGCGGUAGGCCUAACACAUGCCAGUCGAACGGCAGCACAGUAAGAGCUUGCUCUUACGGGUGGCGAGUGGCGGACGGGUGAGGAAUACAUCGGAAUCUACUUUUUCGUGGGGGAUAACGUAGGGAAACUUACGCUAAUACCGCAUACGACCUACGGGUGGAAGCAGGGGAUCUUCGGACCUUGCGCGAUUGAAUGAGCCGAUGUCGGAUUAGCUAGUUGGCGGGGUAAAGGCCCACCAAGGCGACGAUCCGUAGCUGGUCUGAGAGGAUGAUCAGCCACACUGGAACUGAGACACGGUCCAGACUCCUACGGGAGGCAGCAGUGGGGAAUAUUGGGCAAUGGGCGCAAGCCUGAUCCAGCCACACCGCGUGGGUGAAGAAGGCCUUCGGGUUGUAAAGCCCUUUUGUUGGGAAAGAAAAGCAGCAGGUUAAUACCCCGCUGUUCUGACGGUACCCAAAGAAUAAGCACCGGCUAACUUCGUG